rnacentral:rRNA from 1 species
GAUAAACGCUGGCGGCGUGCAUGAGACAUGCAAGUCGAACGGACCAUCAGGGCUUGCUCUGAUGGUUAGUGGCGGACGGCUGAGUAACGCGUAGGUGACCUGCCCCGAAGUGGGGGAUAACUGCCCGAAAGGGUGGCUAAUACCGCAUGUGGUGGUUCGUUCGAUCGAUCCAUCAAAGCAGUAAUGCGCUUCGGGAGGGGCCUGCGUCCGAUUAGCUCGUUGGUGGGGUAACGGCUCACCAAGGCGACGAUCGGUAGGUGGUCUGAGAGGACGAUCACCCAGACUGGGACUGAGACACGGCCCAGACUCCUACGGGAGGCUG